rnacentral:rRNA from 1 species
AUUGAACGCUGGCGGCAGGCCUAACACAUGCAAGUCGAACGAGUGGCGGACGGGUGAGUAAUGUCUGGGAAUCUGCCCGAUGGAGGGGGAUAACUACUGGAAACGGUAGCUAAUACCGCAUACCAUCGGAUGUACCCAUAUGGGAUUAGCUAGUAGGUGGGGUAACGGCUCACCUAGGCGACGAUCCCUAGCUGGUCUGAGAGGAUGAGCAGCCACACUGGGACUGAGACACGGUCCAGACUCCUACGGGAGGCAGCAGUGGGGAAUAUUGCACAAUGGGCGCAAGCCUGAUACAGCCAUGCCGCGUGUAUGAAGAAGGCCUUAGGGUUGUAAAGUACUUUCAGCGGGGAGGCGUUACCCGCAGAAGAAGCACCGGCUAACUCCGUGCCAGCAGCCGCGGUAAUUC